rnacentral:rRNA from 1 species
CAGUCGCCACGGUAAUACGAAGGGGGCUAGCGUUGCUCGGAAUGACUGGGCGUAAAGGGCGCGUAGGCGGAUUGUUUAGUUAGGCGUGAAAUUCCUGGGCUUAACCUGGGGACUGCGCUUAAUACAGGCAGUCUAGAGUGAGGAAGAGGGUUGUGGAAUUCCCAGUGUAGAGGUGAAAUUCGUAGAUAUUGGGAAGAACACCGGUGGCGAAGGCGGCAACCUGGUCCUUGACUGACGCUGAGGCGCGAAAGCGUGGGGAGCAAACAGGAUUAGAUACCCCAGUAGUCCCUGUCUCUUAUAC